CCUACGGGGGGCAGCAGUGAGGAAUAUUGGUCAAUGGGCGCGAGCCUGAACCAGCCAAGUCGCGUGAGGGAAGACGGUCCUACGGAUUGUAAACCUCUUUUGUCGGGGAGCAAAAGACGCCACGCGUGGCGUUCCGAGAGUACCCGACGAAAAAGCAUCGGCAAACCCCGUGCCAGCAGCCGCGGUAAUACGGAGGAUGCGAGCGUUAUCCGGAUUUAUUGGGUUUAAAGGGUGCGCAGGCGGAAGAUCAAGUCAGCGGUAAAAUUGAGAGGCUCAACACCUUCGAGCCGUUGAAACUGGUUUGCUUGAGUGAGUGAGAAGUAUGCGGAAUGCGUGGUGUAGCGGUGAAAUGCAUAGAUAUCACGCAGAACUCCGAUUGCGAAGGCAGCAUACCGGCGCUCAACUGACGCUCAUGCACGAAAGUGUGGGGAUCGAACAGGAUUAGAUACCCUGGUAGUC
rnacentral:rRNA from 1 species